rnacentral:rRNA from 1 species
GACGAACGCGGGCGGCGUGCUUAAAACAUGCAAGUCGAACGAAGUGGCGAACGGGUGAGUAACGCGUAAUCAACCUGCCCUUCAGAGGGGGACAACAGAUGGAAACGACUGCUAAUACCGCAUACUGAAGGAGGGGAUUGCGUCUGAUUAGCUAGUUGGAGGGUUAACGGCCCACCAAGGCGAUGAGCAGUAGCCGGUCUGUGAGGAUGAACGGCCACAUUGGGACUGAGACACGGCCCAGACUCCUACGGGAGGCAGCAGUGGGGAAUCUUCCGCAAUGGACGAAAGUCUGACGGAGCAACGCCGCGUGAGUGAUGACGGCCUUCGGGUUGUAAAGCUCUGUUAAUCGGGACGCGGUACCGGAAUAGAAAGCCACGGCUAACUACGUGCCAGCAGCCGCGGUAAUUC